GACGAACGCUGGCGGCGUGCCUAACACAUGCAAGUCGAGCGAAUGAAGUUCCUUCGGGAAUGGAUUUAGCGGCGGACGGGUGAGUAACACGUGGGCAACCUGCAUCAUAGAGGGGAAUAGCCUUCCGAAAGGGAGAUUAAUACCGCAUAAGAUUGUAGUACCGCAUGAUACAGCAAUUAAAGGAGCAAUCCGCUAUGAGAUGGGCCCGAGGCGCAUUAGCUAGUUGGUGAGGUAACGGCUCACCAAGGCGACGAUGCGUAGCCGACCUGAGCGGGUGAUGGGCCACAUUGGCACUGAGACACGGCCCAGACUGCUACGGGAGGCAGCAGUGGGGAAUAUUGCACAAGGGGGGAAACCCUGAUGCAGCAACGCCGCGUGAGUGAUGACAGCCUUCGGGUUGUAAAGCUCUGUCUUCAGGGACGAUAAUGACGGUACCUGAGGAGGAAGCCACGACUAACUACGUGCCAGCAGCCGCCGUAA
rnacentral:rRNA from 1 species